rnacentral:rRNA from 1 species
UCAGGAUUAACGCUGGCGGCGUGCCUAAUACAUGCAAGUCGAAUGGUAGCAAUACCAUGGCGAACGGGUGAGUAACACGUAGGUAACCUGUCUUUAAGCCGAGGAUAACCAUUGGAAACGAUGGAUAAUACUGGAUAGGACAUUUGAAGGCAUCUUUAAAUGUUUAAAGAUUUAUCACUUAGAGAGGGGCCUGCGGCGCAUUAGCUAGUUGGUGAGGUGAAGGCUUACCAAGGCGAUGAUGCGUAGCCGGACUGAGAGGUUGAACGGCCACAAUGGAACUGAGAACGGUCCAUACUCCUACGGGAGGCAGCAGUAGGGAAUUUUCGGCAAUGGGCGGAAGCCCUGACCGAGCAACGCCGCGUGAACGAAGAAGUAUUUCGGUAUGUAAAGUUCUUUUAUUAGGGACGAAAAGACGGAUUGACGGUACCUAAUGAAUAAGCUCCGGCUAACUACGUGCCAGCCGCGGC